rnacentral:rRNA from 1 species
GGUUAAGCGACUAAGCGUACACGGUGGAUGCCCUGGCAGUCAGAGGCGAUGAAGGACGUGCUAAUCUGCGAAAAGCGUCGGUAAGGUGAUAUGAACCGUUAUAGCCGGCGAUGUCCGAAUGGGGAAACCCAGUGUGAUUCGUCACACUAUCGUUAACUGAAUACAUAGGUUAACGAGGCGAACCGGGGGAACUGAAACAUCUAAGUACCCCGAGGAAAAGAAAUCAACCGAGAUUCCCCCAGUAGCGGCGAGCGAACGGGGAGCAGCCCAGAGUCUGAAUCAGCUUGUGUAUUAGUGGAACGGUCUGGAAAGUCCGACGGUACAGGGUGAUAGUCCCGUACACCAAAAUGCACAGGCUGUGAACUCGAAGAGUAGGGCGGGACACGUGGUAUCCUGUCUGAAUAUGGGGGGACCAUCCUCCAAGGCUAAAUACUCCUGACUGACCGAUAGUAAACCAGUACCGUGAGGGAAAGGCGAAAAGAACCCCGGCGAGGGGAGUGAAAAAGAACCUGAAACCGUGUACGUACAAGCAGUGGGAGCACCUUCGGGUGUGACUGCGUACCUUUUGUAUAAUGGGUCAGCGACUUAUAUUCUGUAGCAAGGUUAACCGUAUAGGGGAGCCGCAGGGAAACCGAGUCUUAACUGGGCGUUAAGUUGCAGGGUAUAGACCCGAAACCCGGUGAUCUAGCCAUGGGCAGGUUGAAGGUUGGGUAACACUAACUGGAGGACCGAACCGACUAAUGUUGAAAAAUUAGCGGAUGACUUGUGGCUGGGGGUGAAAGGCCAAUCAAACCGGGAGAUAGCUGGUUCUCCCCGAAAGCUAUUUAGGUAGCGCCUCGUGAAUUCAUCUUCGGGGGUAGAGCACUGUUUCGGCUAGGGGGUCAUCCCGACUUACCAACCCGAUGCAAACUACGAAUACCGAAGAAUGUUAUCACGGGAGACACACGGCGGGUGCUAACGUCCGUCGUGAAGAGGGAAACAACCCAGACCGCCAGCUAAGGUCCCAAAGUCAUGGUUAAGUGGGAAACGAUGUGGGAAGGCACAGACAGCCAGGAUGUUGGCUUAGAAGCAGCCAUCAUUUAAAGAAAGCGUAAUAGCUCACUGGUCGAGUCGGCCUGCGCGGAAGAUGUAACGGGGCUAAACCAUGCACCGAAGCUGCGGCAGCGACACUAUGUGUUGUUGGGUAGGGGAGCGUUCUGUAAGCCUGCGAAGGUGACCUGUGAGGGUUGCUGGAGGUAUCAGAAGUGCGAAUGCUGACAUAAGUAACGAUAAAGCGGGUGAAAAGCCCGCUCGCCGGAAGACCAAGGGUUCCUGUCCAACGUUAAUCGGGGCAGGGUGAGUCGACCCCUAAGGCGAGGCCGAAAGGCGUAGUCGAUGGGAAACAGGUUAAUAUUCCUGUACUUGGUGUUACUGCGAAGGGGGACGGAGAAGGCUAUGUUAGCCGGGCGACGGUUGUCCCGGUUUAAGCAUGUAGGCUGGUUGUCCAGGCAAAUCCGGAUAAUCAAGGCUGAGGUGUGAUGACGAGGUACUACGGUGCUGAAGUAACAAAUGCCCUGCUUCCAGGAAAAGCCUCUAAGCAUCAGGUAACAUCAAAUCGUACCCCAAACCGACACAGGUGGUCAGGUAGAGAAUACCAAGGCGCUUGAGAGAACUCGGGUGAAGGAACUAGGCAAAAUGGUGCCGUAACUUCGGGAGAAGGCACGCUGGUGUGUAGGUGAAGUCCCUGCGGAUGGAGCUGAGACCAGUCGAAGAUACCAGCUGGCUGCAACUGUUUAUUAAAAACACAGCACUGUGCAAACACGAAAGUGGACGUAUACGGUGUGACGCCUGCCCGGUGCCGGAAGGUUAAUUGAUGGGGUUAUCCGUAAGGAGAAGCUCUUGAUCGAAGCCCCGGUAAACGGCGGCCGUAACUAUAACGGUCCUAAGGUAGCGAAAUUCCUUGUCGGGUAAGUUCCGACCUGCACGAAUGGCGUAAUGAUGGCCAGGCUGUCUCCACCCGAGACUCAGUGAAAUUGAACUCGCUGUGAAGAUGCAGUGUACCCGCGGCAAGACGGAAAGACCCCGUGAACCUUUACUAUAGCUUGACACUGAACAUUGAGCCUUGAUGUGUAGGAUAGGUGGGAGGCUUUGAAGCGUGGACGCCAGUCUGCGUGGAGCCAACCUUGAAAUACCACCCUUUAAUGUUUGAUGUUCUAACGUUGGCCCCUGACCGGGGUUGCGGACAGUGUCUGGUGGGUAGUUUGACUGGGGCGGUCUCCUCCCAAAGCGUAACGGAGGAGCACGAAGGUUAGCUAAUCCUGGUCGGACAUCAGGAGGUUAGUGCAAUGGCAUAAGCUAGCUUGACUGCGAGCGUGACGGCGCGAGCAGGUGCGAAAGCAGGUCAUAGUGAUCCGGUGGUUCUGAAUGGAAGGGCCAUCGCUCAACGGAUAAAAGGUACUCCGGGGAUAACAGGCUGAUACCGCCCAAGAGUUCAUAUCGACGGCGGUGUUUGGCACCUCGAUGUCGGCUCAUCACAUCCUGGGGCUGAAGUAGGUCCCAAGGGUAUGGCUGUUCGCCAUUUAAAGUGGUACGCGAGCUGGGUUUAGAACGUCGUGAGACAGUUCGGUCCCUAUCUGCCGUGGGCGCUGGAGAAUUGAGGGGGGGCUGCUCCUAGUACGAGAGGACCGGAGUGGACGCAUCACUGGUGUUCGGGUUGUCAUGCCAAUGGCACUGCCCGGUAGCUAAAUGCGGAAGAGAUAAGUGCUGAAAGCAUCUAAGCACGAAACUUGCCCCGAGAUGAGUUCUCCCUGAGACUUUAAGUCUCCUGAAGGAACGUUGAAGACGACGACGUUGAUAGGCCGGGUGUGUAAGCGCAGCGAUGCGUUGAGCUAACCGGUACUAAUGAACCGUGAGGCUUAACCUU